GAUGAACGCUGGCGGCGUGCCUAAUACAUGCAAGUCGAGCGAAGCGGGGACGGGUGAGUAACACGUGGAUAACCUCCUAUAAGACUGGGAUAACUUCGGGAAACCGGAGCUAAACCGGAUACUUAUAAUUGGCUCCGCGUUGCAUUAGCUAGUUGGUAAGGUAACGGCUUACAAAGGCAACGAUGCAUAGCCGACCUGAGAGGGUGAUGGGCCACACCGGAACUGAGACACGGUCCAGACUCCUACGGGAGGCAGCAGUAGGGAAUCGUCCGCAAUGGGCGAAAGCCUGACGGAGCAACGCCGCGUGAGUGAAGAAGGGCUUCGGAUCGUAAAACUCUGUUAUUAGGGAAGCGGUAACUAAUCAGAAAGCCACGGCUAACUACGUGCCAGCAGCCGCGGUAAUAC
rnacentral:rRNA from 1 species